rnacentral:rRNA from 1 species
GACGAACGCUGGCGGCGUGCUUAACACAUGCAAGUCGAACGGAAAGGCCCUGCUUUUGUGGGGUGCUCGAGUGGCGAACGGGUGAGUAACACGCGAGUAACCUGCCCUUGACUUUGGGAUAACUUCAGGAAACUGGGGCUAAUAUCGGAUAGGAGCUCCUGCUGCAUGGUGGGGGUUGGAAAGUUUCGGCGGUUGGGGCUGGACUCGCGGCUUAUCCGCUUGUUGGUGGGGUAGUGGCUUACCAAGGCUUUGAAGGGUAGCCGGCCUGAGAGGGUGACCGGCCACAUUGCGACUGCGAUACGGCCCAGACUCCUACGGGAGGCAGAAGUGGGGAAUAUUGCACAAUGGGCGGAAGCCUGAUGCAGCAACGCCGCGUGCGGGAUGACGGCCUUCGGGGUGUAAACCGCUUUCGCCUGAGACGAAGCGUGAGUGACGGUAAUGGGUAAAGAAGCACCGGCUAACUACGUG